rnacentral:misc_RNA from 1 species
AGCAGCCGCGGUAAUUCCAGCUCCAAUAGCGUAUAUUAAAGUUGCUGCAGUUAAAAAGCUCGUAGUUGAAUUUCGGGACUAAUAUGUCGGUCGUGCCUCGGUACGUACUGGUUUAUUGGUUUCUCCUUUCUGAAGAACCAUGAUGUCAUUUAUUUGGUGUCGUGGGGAAUCAGGACUGUUACUUUGAAAAAAUUAGAGUGUUUAAAGCAGGCUCACGCUUGAAUACAUUAGCAUGGAAUAAUGAAAUAGGACGUUUGAUUCUAUUUUGUUGGUUUCUAGGAUCGACGUAAUGAUUAAUAGGGAUAGUUGGGGGCAUUAGUAUUCAAUUGUCAGAGGUGAAAUUCUUGGAUUUAUUGAAGACUAACUACUGCGAAAGCAUUUGCCAAGGAUGUUUUCAUUAAUCAAGAACGAAAGUUAGGGGAUCGAAGACGAUCAGAUACCGUCGUAGUCUUAACCAUAAACUAUGCCGACUAGGGAUCGGAUGAUGUUAAUUUUAAUGACUCAUUCGGCGCCUUACGGG